GUAGUGUCAGCUAAUCAAAGCUAUUGGGCCCAUACCCCAAAAAUGAUGGUUUAACCCCCUCCCCUACUA
rnacentral:tRNA from 1 species